rnacentral:rRNA from 1 species
UACGUAGGGUGCGAGCGUUAAUCGGAAUUAUUGGGCGUAAAGGGCGCGUAGGCGGCCAUGCGUGUCUUCCGUGAAAUCCCUCGGCUUAACCGAGGACGUGCGGAAGAAACUGCAAGGCUCGAGUCCGGAAGAGGGGGGCGGAAUUCCCAGUGUAGCGGUGAAAUUCGUAGAUAUCGGGAGGAACACCUGUGGCGAAGGCGGCCACCUGGAAGACAACUGACGCUGAGACGCGAAAGCGUGGGGAGCAAACAGGAUUGAGAAACCCGU